rnacentral:ribozyme from 1 species
CGCUCAUUUCUUUGAAUGAUUACUUUUCCAUCCUUUUCUGUUGCUCGUUUUUUUUCAUUUCACUUUGUGCACAUGCCUCGUUUGCUGUGCAUUUUUUAUUUA